ensembl:lncRNA
CCGCCCUAUUCUCGACCGUCCAUAUCCCCGUGGAUUCAUAAUUAUGUAUACAUUGUCGAGAAUAAGCAUUGUUUAAAUAAAAACGAUCACAAUCCUGUACACAUGAGUGGUGAAAUCCUUCAAAGCAUGACACAAAGUUAGUAUUCAAUGCCUGUCAGUAAUAUUAAACUGAAAUUUCACAUCCUCUUAUUGUGUUCACAGUGCAAAACAUCAUAAAACAAUAUAUUGGCCGUACUCUCAAUCGUGCUUCUUUCUGUGGAUCCGUAAUUGUGCUUCAAUAGAGCGUCGUCCUUAAAGAAUAGUGCAUACAUUUCUAAGAGUCAGCAUUGUUUAACAGAUUGUAAUCCUGUACACACAAAUGAUGGAAUAUAAUAGCAUGACACCAGGUAGGCAUUCUAUGCAUGUCAGUAAAUUAUAACUUGACUAUUAAGAUUUGUGAAGGAGUGAGAUGUCAUAGAUCCGCUAUAAAAUGUGUUGUUUUAUUCUGUCCAUGCAUUAAAGGGCCAGAUUAGGCUUGCAAAUAAUACAUGUACUAAUGUUGUGUUUAGGAAAAGGGGACCAGGUUAGGUCACAGCCUCCCUCCAACAAUAGAAAACUGUGUGGUUGUGGUUAGGGUUAGGGGUUAGGGUUAGGGUUAGGGUUAGGGUUAGGGUUAGGGUUAGGGAAUAAAUAG